UUAAAUCUGGCUUUUGAGAGCCCAUAAAAAGCGAGGUGAUGGGGCGAGCCCAGGCCCAUGGCAGACGUGACCAACCGCGGACGGGAGGUUUCCCCUGGGAGGAGAAGCCCUCCUCGUGAGCACGCAGGGGCAGACCUCCGCUGAUGCCAAUGCUGAUGCCGCAACGCUGUCCUCGCUCCUGGACUCAGCCCAGCCCAGAGGGAGGGACCUAGGAGCAGCCAAAGGCGCCCGGCGACCGAGAGAAUGUGUUUCCUGGGGUUCCGAGGACAAAGUAGGGGUCAGUCUGAACGAGGCACUGACCUCAAGGGAAUUGGUGUUUCCUUGAGAACCAGAAGUAUUGGAACUUGGAUCUUGGGUUAAUUAUCCAAAUCUUUGGAAAAAGUAUUGUUUUGAUUCUUCAUCUGAAAAUCCUGAAAUUCUGCCUUCUCUUGAGGAUGUGAGUCAAAGGAGCAAGACGAAGUGAGUAAAACUGUGCAGAUUUCUCAGCGAGACUGAGAAGUGCCAUCUUGAACCAGCUCCACAGGAGCCCGGAUUUUGCUGCUGCCGGGCCCUGCCCCCAGCGCCUUGCACUGGAGAUGAUGUGAACUAGCGAUGCUCAGAUUUGUAACCUGGAGACUCCAGACGUUUUUUAAUCCCGUGCCCUCAGGCUGAACACCCCCCUUUGACUGUCUCCUGACUUCCUUCGUGUAUAAGAGAAGCUCACCCUGCGCUGCUUUUAGGAACCUCUGGUGGAAACGCCACAGCGGACCCGUUCUGUGGCUCCUUCUGCGAGGCUCGUUAUCUCAGGUCAUUGGUUUCUAGCCCUAAUUUGAUGACUUGUUAGUGCCAAACUUGCUAAAAUGUGGUUUUACUUCCAGAAUUUAAAUACCGUUAAGGCGCUUAGUCCUCUUAACCAGCUCUCUACCAUCCUUCCUGUCCGGUCUCCCCUGAUGUCUAGGAUGACAAAGGAUAAUUCGAUGAGAAGGGAUGUUUGGUGGGCACGCGGCUGGGGAGGAGGACUGAGAAAUAAACAGAACAUGGACAAGCGGUAGGAUUAACAGAAACAUCAGUCUCUACACCACUCCACCGUUUUACCCCCGGGUAUCAGUCUGAGACCUUAGCCCAUUUACGGCGAAGAAAAGGAUGCAGAGGAUCCGGGCGGUUUGCUCGAGGGCAGAGGGGCCUAAAGGUGGUUGGUGCAUCCGUGAGGCCCUGCUCUCAGCCCAGGGAAGGGGGACGGUGAGGGGGCCAGGGGUCCUGGAGCCCCAGGUAAAGGGGGGCUGGCAGAGAGCAAGGCGGCAGGACGAGUUCUGGGACUCCUGGGCUGCGUGUAGUGUCCCCAGGAUGCACCAGUCACUUUACUAGGUCCAUCUGGAGGGUCUAAUGGACUUAAGGUUCUGUCUGCAGGUUCUAGACAUUAGGAUCAGCUUUAUGAUUUUAUACUUUUAAAGGAAUCAGAUCAAAUUUCUUUCCGUGCUACAGGGUCUGUGUAGGAGCAGUUUGUUCCCAGAGAGCCUGAGAUACCCUUCAUCUGGCGUCUUUAUCUUAGAGAUGAUGGUGCCAGUUGUGAACAAGGCGGCUUUAUUUCUCUCCAGCUCUGGAUCAGGAUGGACCCUGCUGGAUGGGGUGUUUCCCUCCCUGGAACUUACAGAUGCCGCAGUUGUGGCCAAAAAGAAAAGAGACAGACGGUGGUGGCUGGGACCAGAGCGGAAGAGUGAAGAUUGUAGAAGUGGAUGACGGUCCUGAAUGCUGGCAAGGAGGCUGGGGUUUCCGGCUGCAUAGCUGUCCUAGCAUCUGAAAUGGAAGGAAACUAUUCAGUUAGCAUUUCCACCCUGGUCCCUCCUGCAGUGAUUUGUGUCUCCGCACUAUUAGCUUGAAUUCAGCUGAAGUCAUUUCCUAUGGGGUUAUUCUCCUGUUAACAGGAGAAACCCAGCAAUCCUGCCCCGCUGGGCUCAAAACGCCUCUCUCCCUCUUUCCAUGUUUAAAAAUAUCGAACAGUCGUCUCCAAGCUCAAGGGAAAUAAAGUGCCCAAAACAACU